GGGCCCGCACAAGCGGUGGAGCAUGUGGCUUAAUUCGAUGCAACGCGAAGAACCUUACCAGGGCUUAAAUGUAGUGGGACAGGUCUAGAGAUAGACCUUUCUUCGGACUCAUUACAAGGUGCUGCAUGGUUGUCGUCAGCUCGUGCCGUGAGGUGUCAGGUUAAGUCCUAUAACGAGCGCAACCCCUAUCGUUAGUUGCCAGCGGGUCAUGCCGGGAACUCUAGCGAAACUGCCGGUGCAAACCGAGAGGAAGGUGGGGAUGACGUCAAAUCAUCACGGCCCUUACGUCCUGGGCCACACACGUGCUACAAUGGCCGGUACAGAGAGCAGCCACUACGCGAGUAGGAGCGAAUCUACAAAACCGGUCUCAGUUCGGAUCGCAGUCUGCAACUCGACUGCGUGAAGCUGGAAUCGCUAGUAAUCGC
rnacentral:rRNA from 1 species